CUGUUCUGUGUGAUUCUUUUAGCUCCUUCACCGUUCACUGGAUCCUGGUGAGAACAAGUCCGUAAGCGGAGAGCAGAAUCAGAAGAUUGCUAUUAUCAUAGGAUGGGACACACCCUCAAUAAUACAAUGGCACUGGUGAUUCUCAUCUGUGUCCAGCAUUGAACAUCAAGGCAGUUUCCUCCAUAUUGAGAACUGAGAUCAGCCUGUGAUCCACAGGGAGGAUUGAUUUCCAAAGACUCAUGCUAUGUAAGGAAGCCACCAAGAAGGGCAAAGAAAAGGAGCCAGGGACGGCUCUUCCUCAGGGACACUAGACUUUCAGGGAUGUGGCUAUAGAUUUCUCUUUGGAGGAGUGGAAAUGCCUGAACCCUGCACAGAGGGCUUUAUACAGGGAAGUGAUGUUGGAGAACUACAGGAACCUGGAGUUUGUGGUGAUGACCCUCAUAUUUGUCAUGGACAGCUUCUUAGAGACUCCCUUAUGGAGUGGUUUUACAUAAAACCAGAAAAUUCAUGAAGAACACUUUGACUAAUAAGAUUGAACAUCAUCCUGCUCUAGGCAGAGAUGCCCCUGGAGGCCCUGAGCGGAAUUGUCACCAUGGCCCAGGAUAUGAGAUAGAAAGCAUCACACUGACUGACAAGUGUUUCCAGCUGCGCUUGUGGUUUUGUGUUUUUUGUUUCAUUUUGUUUUUAUGAGACAGAGUGUUGAACAGGUUGGAGUGCAGUGUCGUGAUCUCAGCUCAUUGCAACCUCCACCUUCUGGGCUCAAGCAAUUCACAUACCUGAGCCUCCCAACCUAACUGAAAUUACAGAUGCAUGUCACC
rnacentral:lncRNA from 10 species